UAAUGUAGCUGCCAUAGAAACAGAAAGAAGGAUGUCCUCAGAAAUCCAAUGGGUUGCACAUGAAGAACCAGACAUUGCUGCACAGAAUUGCAGGAGACAUUUGAUUUAUUUACAAGAUUUAAUGAUCAACUACAAAAUGCAGUCCACCGGUAUUACCAUGCAUCCACAAAUAGUUCAUACACUUCAUCAUUCUCUCCGUUCUUCGUUCAGCAUGCUAUUCCCAUAUCCUGUACCAGAACAUUGCUCGCAUGAAUACAUAGCAUCCCAUGAAUCCAUGUCAUAGUGCAUGCCUCUCCCAGCGAGUCAAUCUUUGUACCCAUUUCUAGUUUUAUAAUACAUCUCCUAUGCUCUCGGCAUAUUUCCUGAAGGAUUUCUGAAGGGAACCUACAACCUCGAUGUGGCGGAUAGAAUCCAACCCUCGCUCUGAAAAUCAUAAUCACUAUGUAAGCUUCUUGCGUAACUACAAUUUUUCUGUACUCUAUAUUUUACCAGCAAUGGUACACGACCUUUGACACUAAUCUAGAAACAACAAUCUCUAAGCUUCUCCUUGUUUAUGGUUUACCUCUUCUUCAACCCGUAGAUCCAUGGCUACCAGUUUCACCAGAUCCUCCAAAUUAGGCAAGCUACAAACUGAAAGAUCAGAACAACAAUGUUUUAUUUCACACAUAGAUCAGGGAGGAACUUAUGCUCUAA
rnacentral:lncRNA from 1 species